GACGAACGCUGGCGGCGUGCUUAACACAUGCAAGUCGAACGGACAGGCCCUGCUUUUGUGGGGUGCUCGAGUGGCGAACGGGUGAGUAACACGUGUGUAACCUGCACUUGACUUUGGGAUAACUUCAGGAAAAUGGGGCUAAUACCGGAUAGGAGCUCCUGAUGCAUGGUGGGGGUUGGAAAGUUUCGGCGGUUGGGGCUGGACUCGCGGCUUAUCAGCUUGAUGGUGGGGUAGUGGCUUACCAAGGUUGUGACGGGUAGGCGGCAUGAGAGGGUGGCCGGCCACAUGGGUACUGAGGUACGGCCCAGACUCCUACGUUACGCAGCAGUGGGGAAUAUUGCACAAUGGGCCGAAGCCUGAUGCAGCAGCCCCGCGUUCGGAAUGCCGUCCUUCGGGUUGUAAACCGCUUUCGCCUGUGACGAAGCGUUAUUGACGGUAAUGGGUAAAGAAGCACCGGCUAACUACGUG
rnacentral:rRNA from 1 species